rnacentral:rRNA from 1 species
GACCUCAAAUCAGGUAGGACUACCCGCUGAACUUAAGCAUAUCAAUAAGCGGAGGAAAAGAAACUAACAAGGAUUCCUCUAGUAACUGCGAGUGAAGCGGGAAAAGCUCAAAUUUAAAAUCUGGUGGUUGUUUUUGACCGUCCGAGUUGUAAUCUAGAGAAGUGUUACCUGUGCUGGACCAUGUACAAGUCUCCUGGAAUGGAGCAUCAUAGAGGGUGAGAAUCCCGUCUUUGACAUGGACUACCAGUGCAUCUUGGUGCGCUCUCGAAGAGUCGAGUUGUUUGGGAAUGCAGCUCAAAAUGGGUGGUAAAUGCCAUCUAAAGCUAAAUAUUGGCGAGAGACCGAUAGCGAACAAGUACCGUGAGGGAAAGAUGAAAAGAACUUUGGAAAGAGAGUUAAACAGUACGUGAAAUUGCUGAAAGGGAAACGCUUGAAGUCAG